rnacentral:rRNA from 1 species
AAUAUUGCACAAUGGGCGCAAGCCUGAUGCAGCCAUGCCGCGUGUAUGAAGAAGGCCUUCGGGUUGUAAAGUACUUUCAGCAGUGAGGAAGGUGGGUAUGUUAAUAGCAUACUCAUUUGACGUUAGCUGCAGAAGAAGCACCGGCUAACUCCGUGCCAGCAGCCGCGGUAAUACGGAGGGUGCGAGCGUUAAUCGGAAUUACUGGGCGUAAAGCGCAUGCAGGUGGUUUGUUAAGUCAGAUGUGAAAGCCCGGGGCUCAACCUCGGAAUUGCAUUUGAAACUGGCAAACUAGAGUACUGUAGAGGGGGUAGAAUUUCAGGUGUAGCGGUGAAAAUGCGUAGAGAUCUGAAGGAAUACCGGUGGCGAAGGCGGCCCCCUGGACAGAUACUGACACUCAGAUGCGAAAGCGUGGGGAGCAAACAGGAUUAGAUACCCGGGUAG